rnacentral:rRNA from 1 species
ACGAACGCUGGCGGCGCGCCUCACACAUGCAAGUCGAGCGAGAACCAGGGCUUCGGCCCUGGGGAAAGCGGCGAACGGGUGCGUAACACGUGAGCAACCUGCCCCGAAGACCGGGACAAGCCGGGGAAACCUGGUCUAAUACCGGAUGUCCUCUCCUGAUCACAUGGUCGGGUGAGGAAAUGGAUUCCGCUUCGGGAUGGGCUCGCGGUCUAUCAGCUUGUUGGUGGGGUAACGGCCUACCAAGGCGACGACGGAUAGCUGGUCUGAGAGGACGAUCAGCCACACUGGGACUGAGACACGGCCCAGACUCCUACGGGAGGCAGCAGUGGGGAAUCUUGCGCAAUGAGGGAAACCUUGACGCAGCGACGCCGCGUGCGGGAUGAAGGCCUUCGGGUUGUAAACCGCUUUCAGCAGGGACGAAAUUGACGGUACCUGCAGAAGAAGGCCCGGCCAACUACGU